rnacentral:misc_RNA from 1 species
UCCGGUUUGUCACCGGCAGUCUGGCGUGAGUCCUCAACUUAAUGUUAGCAACACACCACGGGGGUUGCGCUCGUUGCGGGACUUAACCCAACAUCUCACGACACGAGCUGACGACAGCCAUGCAGCACCUGUGGCACACCCUCGAAGGUCACACGUUUCCGUGCGCUUGCAGUGCCAUGUCAAGCCCAGGUAAGGUUCUUCGCGUUGCAUCGAAUUAAAGAACAUGCUCCGCUGCUUGUGCGGGCCCCCGUCAAUUCUUUUGAGUUUUAGCCUUGCGGCCGUACUCCCCAGGCGGAACACUUAUCGCGUUGGCUACGGCACCGAGGGAUUCGACUCCCCCAACACCUAGUGUUCAUCGUUUACGGCAUGGACUAC